GCUCCCGACGCCCCACUCUGCUCUGCUCUCUAGGCCCGCCGGCCCGCGCCCACCAUGUCCGCCAUUCAGCAGCUGGUAGGAAGAUGGCGCUUAGUGGAAAGCAAAGGCUUUGACGAAUACAUGAAGGAAGUAGGAGUGGGAAUAGCUCUGCGAAAAGUGGGUGCAAUGGCCAAACCAGAUUGUAUCAUCUCUUCUGACAGCAAAAACCUCACCAUAAAAACUGAGAGCGCUUUGAAAACAACACAGUUUUCAUGUAACCUGGGAGAGAAGUUUGAAGAAACUACAGCUGAUGGCAGAAAAACUGAGACUGUCUGCAACUUCACAGACAGCACGUUGGUUCAACAUCAGGAAUGGGAUGGGAAGGAAAGCACAAUCACAAGAAAAUUGGAAAAUGGGAAAUUAGUGGUGGAAUGCAUCAUGAAUAAUGUCACCUGUACUCGGGUCUAUGAAAAAGUAGAGUAAAAAUUCCAUCAUCAUUGUGGACAGGAAUUAGCUGUGAGGAUGAACAAGCUCAGUUCAAUGAGCAAACCUCCAUACUGCUUUUUUUUUUCAUUACUGUGUUCAAUUAUCUUUAUCACAAACAUUUUACAUGCAUCUAUUUCAAAGUGUUGAUUUAAUUAGGAUCAUCCCUUUGGUUAGUAAAUAAAUUUGUGCUAUGCCAAAAAAAA